AUUGAACGCUGGCGGCAGGCCUAACACAUGCAAGUCGAGCGAGCGGCGGACGGGUGAGUAAUGUAUGGGGACUGCCCGAUAGAGGGGGAUAACUACUGGAAACGGUGGCUAAUACCGCAUACUAUCGGAUAACCCAUAUGGGAUUAGCUAGUAGGUGGGGUAAAGGCUCACCUAGUCGACGAUCUCUAGCUGGUCUGAGAGGAAGAUCAGCCACACUGGGACGUGGACACUGACCAGACUCCUACGGAGGCAGGAGUGGGGAAUGUUGCACAAGAGGCGCAAGCCUGAUGCAGCCAGGCCGCGUGUAUGAAGAAGGCCUUAGGGUGGUAAAGUACUUUCAGCGGGGAGGCGUUACCCGGAGAAGAAGCACCGGCUAACUCCGUGCCAGCCGCCGCGGUAAUUC
rnacentral:rRNA from 1 species